rnacentral:rRNA from 1 species
GAUGAACGCUGGCGGCGUGCUUAACACAUGCAAGUCGAACGGAACUACUCCAAUGAGAGUCUUCGGAAAGGAUUUGGUUUAGUUUAGUGGCGGACGGGUGAGUAACUCGUGGGUAACCUGCCCUAUACAGGGGGAUAACAGUUUGAAACGACUGUUAAUACCGCAUAAGCGCACAGGAGCGCAUGCUCCGGUGUGAAAAACUCCGGUGGUAUAGGAUGGACCCGCGUCUGAUUAGCUGGUUGGCGGGGUAACGGCCCACCAAGGCGACGAUCAGUAGCCGGCCUGAGAGGGGGAACGGCCACAUUGGGAAUGAGACACGGACCAAACUCCUACGGGAGGCAGCAGUGGGGAAUAUUGCACAAUGGGGGAAACCCUGAUGCAGCGACGCCGCGUGAGCGAAGAAGUAUCUCGGUAUGUAAAGCUAGAUGAGAAGGGAAGAAAAUGACGGUACCUGAAUAAGAAGCCCCGGCUAACUACGUG